rnacentral:rRNA from 1 species
AGUCGAGCGGGCAUAGCAAUAUGUCAGCGGCAGACGGGUGAGUAACGCGUGGGAACGUACCUUUUGGUUCGGAACAACUGAGGGAAACUUCAGCUAAUACCGGAUAAGCCCUUACGGGGAAAGAUUUAUCGCCGAAAGAUCGGCCCGCGUCUGAUUAGCUAGUUGGUGAGGUAAUGGCUCACCAAGGCGACGAUCAGUAGCUGGUCUGAGAGGAUGAUCAGCCACAUUGGGACUGAGACACGGCCCAAACUCCUACGGGAGGCAGCAGUGGGGAAUAUUGGACAAUGGGCGCAAGCCUGAUCCAGCCAUGCCGCGUGAGUGAUGAAGGCCCUAGGGUUGUAAAGCUCUUUUGUGCGGGAAGAUAAUGACGGUACCGCAAGAAUAAGCCCCGGCUAACUUCGUGCCAGCAGCCGCGGUAAUACGAAGGGGGCUAGCGUUGCUCGGAAUCACUGGGCGUAAAGGGUGCGUAGGCGGGUCUUUAAGUCAGGGGUGAAAUCCUGGAGCUCAACUCCCGAACUGCCUUUGAUACUGAAGAUCUUGAGUUCGGGAGAGGUGAGUGGAACUGCGAGUGUAGAGGUGAAAUUCGUAGAUAUUCGCAAGAACACCAGUGGCGAAAGCGGCUCACUGGCCCGAUACUGACGCUGAGGCACGAAAGCGUGCGGAGCAAACAGGAUUAGAUACCCUCCUAGUCCACCCCGUACACGAUGAAUGCCAGCCGUUAGUGGGUCGACUC